UUCGUAGGGGGCAAGCGUUGUUCGGAUUCAUUGGGCGUAAAGGGUGCGUAGGUGGCGCGCUAAGUCAGGUGUGAAAUUUCGGAGCUUAACUCCGAAACUGCAUUUGAUACUGGCGUGCUUGAGGACUGGAGAGGAGACUGGAAUUCAUGGUGUAGCAGUGAAAUGCGUAGAGAUCAUGAGGAAGACCAGUGGCGAAGGCGGGUCUCUGGACAGUUCCUGACGCUGAGGCACGAAGGCCAGGGGAGCAAACGGG
rnacentral:rRNA from 1 species